AUUGAACGCUGGCGGCAUGCUUUACACAUGCAAGUCGAACGGUAACAGGCCGCAAGGUGCUGACGAGUGGCGAGCGGGUGAGUAAUGCAUCGGAACGUGCCCAGUCGUGGGGGAUAACGCAGCGAAAGCUGUGCUAAUACCGCAUACGAUCUAUGGAUGAAAGCGGGGGACCGUAAGGCCUCGCGCGAUUGGAGCGGCCGAUGUCAGAUUAGCUAGUUGGUGGGGUAAAGGCCCACCAAGGCGACGAUCUGUAGCUGGUCUGAGAGGACGACCAGCCACACUGGGACUGAGACACGGCCCAGACUCCUACGGGAGGCAGCAGUGGGGAAUUUUGGACAAUGGGCGCAAGCCUGAUCCAGCAAUGCCGCGUGCAGGAAGAAGGCCUUCGGGUUGUAAACUGCUUUUGUACGGAACGAAACGGCCUGGGUUAAUACCCUGGGCUAAUGACGGUACCGUAAGAAUAAGCACCGGCUAACUACGUGCCAGCCGCCGCAGUAACAC
rnacentral:rRNA from 1 species